rnacentral:misc_RNA from 1 species
UUGUUUUUUUUUUUUUUUUACUUUAAUAAUCACCGUCAAGCAAUUGUCCUUUUUUUCUCUGUGCUCUUCCUGUUCUUUAAGAAUCAGUGAAAAAAAUUCAAAUUUCUAUUAAAAUGUCACAUUUUCUUGUAAACCAAACAGCUAUUUCAAGUCGGGAUUCUAAGCAUUAAGGUAGAAAUCAAGAAGUAUAACCUCACCUCCCAUUUCCUCCAGAAUCCGUUGCUCUGCUGACUCUGUAAUUGUUGCUCUGGAGGGAGAUUUUCUCCAGCAGCUCCUUGAUUGAGAGAGCAGCUAAUAGACAAAGUUUAUUUGGGAUGGAAAUAGUAUGGGAAGUGAAAGCGAGGUUGAAUUCCAAUUCCAAGAUAAUUAUGACAUACAAUACUAUUCAAAUUAUACCACAAUGAGGAUGAGGCAGUGGCAGUGCUAUUCUUGAUCAUGCUCCUGGAGCUGGUAUUGUGGCUGAAAAGCAUCUGGGUACAAGGACUCCAUCUCCAUGGAAGCAUCUUUACCUCUUACAGUGCUCUAUCAUUCUACUAGGAC